UUGUGCUCUGACGCACAGCUGAAGUGAGAACCAUCUUUGGCGAUUUUGCACAUCUGCUCAGGUUUCAGGUGGACUUCACCUCUGGACUUCUUCUGUAGAGGUUAUGGUUCUGAAGGACAGGAAUUUUCUCUAUUCACACACCCAGUGAGAUCACGUCAUAUCACUCAUACAGUGUGUGUAGCUCCAGCUACUAGCAAACGUUUUCUUUAUUUAUUCACUUGUUUACGACAAAAAAAAGUCCUUGUUUUUAACGGAUCCUUAAGCACUUUCGGGACAGUGAGCUUCUGGAGUGUCCUGUUACAUGAAUACCGAUGAGUCAUAUAACAAGCAUCAUCUACUCGCCGAAAGACAAAUGAUAAGUCCAGGUUUUCAAGCAUCAGGUUACACCUAUGAGAGUAUUACACAAAGGGUACAGCACUGGAGAGAUUCAUGUGAGACUUGUCCGAGGCUAAUUGGACCCACAAGUGGGUGUGAUGGUUAGGUGUCCAUAUAUUUAUGGCCAUAUUGAGUAUGUUCAUACAGUAGGAACCUUAUCCUGUGAACCAUGUCAUGAUCAAACACAUUUCAGAUUCACAUGAAGAAGGAGCAUCAUGGUUUCCUGACUCAGGGCCUGGAGAGCGUGCAAGCUGACUCAGCUGAGCCUACGGCUAAACCUUGAUGGUGGCGUGGCUGGCUGCUUUAUGUCCCAGGGCGCCCUCAUGUCUGCGUUACCUUCCGGAGCUCCCUUUUAGUUAUGUUAUAACUAGUCCACCUAUCCGGUGUCACCCAAAUGAAGAUGUUUUGAGUCUGGUUCCUCUCCAGGUUCUUCCUCAUAUCGUCUCAUGGAGUUUUUCUUCACGUCUUUCACUUCUGGCUUAUGUUUUAUAUCUAAAGCUUUGUGACAAAGUCUAUUGCUAAAAGUGUUAUAUACAGUAAGUGCUGUAUAAUUUUAUCUUCUAAACAAAACUGAAUCGAACUGAUUCCUACCGAAAUCUAUCCAGACAUGAGCCUUUCUCCAUAAUCUCCUGAUGAGCAGACUCGACACCACAGCUAGAGACUUCAAUGACUUUAUGGUUUUGCAGACGAAGCAUCUGACUGAGCUGAAUUGAUUAGCCAUACUGUGGCAAGAAAGCGCUCGUAAAUUCGGAAAUCGGGAACGACAUCCAGGAAGAGGCCGCUUCCGAAGUGCACAUAGGUGGUGGGCAAGAUUCAACUAAUCUCCCUACUUUCAUGGAAAGGAAAGGGAUUUGUUUCAAAGAGCAGCGGUCCACAGAGGGGGAACGCUUUGCCAAACAAAACAUUCUGACAGAAGAAGCCCAUUUUUCAAGGACGCUGCCAGUUUGAUCGACCUCGCAUCGCAGCAAGGGGUGAAAGCAGCACAGUGGCUUUGACCUGGUUUUCUUCACUCUUCACACAUGGCAGCUUGUCUUGUUUUUCCUUGGCUCCCAAAACAGGAGCUAGGCAGCUUGGCCCAGAUGUUUUCUCAAUAUUAGGAACUUUUUGGGUUCUCUGGACGACAGGAUUUCUUCCAGUCCUACAAGUAAUUACAGUAUUAAUAUAUAUUUGAGACACCCUUCAGUUCUGAACGUUCUGAGCAGAUUCACAGCAUAAGGACUCUUUUGUGUCUUUUCUGUUGUGUGUUUCCUGUGUUUAAAUGUGUUCCUGGCCCGGUUUAGCACCUUACUGCAGGCGAAAUGAGGUAUGUGAAAAUCAUAGCUCAGCUCUUUAGUUAUUAGCCUAUUUAACUGGGAUUGAAUGGUUUUAAUUCAGACUUCUGUGACUGUCUAUAAGGCAUCUAAUGGCAGUUUGUUCUGUAGAUUCACGGGUCCCUGGGUGGCAGAAUAUUUGGAAUAGAAAUGUUUGGUUCAAUAGAGAAUCAUUCUCUUUUGUGUUCUGUGUUAUCAGUAAAAAUUAAUAAAAAGUCAUAAUUUUUUUUUUUCAUUAAAUGUGCAUGACACUCCAGGAUCAGGGUAUGGGAACUUGUGAAGUCCAGUCUUCUUUAUAAAACUAAACUACAAUCUUCUACAAUACAGAAUCAUUUACAAUAGCUUUUAGCCACCUUUACUAUUCAGAGUGUACACUACAUUGUGGGACUUCUUCUUUAGAUCAUUCUCCAGCUCUUCAUCACCUGCAUACCGCCUCCAGAGCUCCUGAGAGUCCUCAAGAAGCAAAUCACAAAAUAUCUUCAUUAAACAAGGCUGGAAUGUUUGUAUAAAAGAAAAUGCUGCAUGCAUUGUAUGUAGAGCUGAGAACACAUAUCCCCACGAUGGGAAUCGGAUCUGUGCACAAUGCACUUUGGCUUUGGGAAAAUCUAUAAUCCCCCUCUAAGAAGGGGGGCGAUGGGGCAGGGGGUUAUACGUCGUUUCGACACUGUUUUUCUGUUGUUGUUGUUGCAGACGAGGUACAGACAGAAUUGAUUUGAGAUGCUAUCUGGCUAUUUCGGUGCAGUGUGUGUUCCCCCAAGGAUCCGGGCUGGGGAUGUUGUUCAAAUGCAUGUGGUGUAGUCUUCCCACAUGACAAAGAAGUAGCAGUAAAUCAGCUGCUGAUGAUAGAUGUAGUCAUGCGUACAAAGGCGAGAAGAAAUAAAGGGAACUAUGACCACUGAUGAUACCAUUUUACAGCGUCCUGUGGUCACCAUGUGACCUUGUGCUAAGGGUUUCUACGUGUGUGCUCACGUACACAAGAAGUUAUCCAGAUGUUCAAACAGCUCCCUUGGUGGUUAGAAGGGGUGAAAUAGAGCUGAAAGUCAAAGCCCUCGCAGUGGAACAUCCUGGUAGAAAUAAUACGACUGAAUCCAUGACACGUCAUAUAAGGGGAUGUGGUAUUCAGACAGAAGUUGACCCCAAAAAUCUUGAGGUAGGAAAAAUGAUAUAUGCUUUGGUUAGUAGUUUCAUAAGUUUGCAGCAUGAUUCAGGUUCAUUGGGACACAGUGAAGGAAUAUAAUGGUUCAUGAAGCAGUUGGACAUAAGUGGUUGGACGUAAGCGGUUGGAGGGAAGUGGCUGGACGUAUGCAGUUGGAUAUAAGCGGUCGGACAUAUGAAGGUGGACAUAAGCGGGUGGAUGUAUGGACUCAUGAAACCCCAUAACUAUAGUUAAAUAAUGCAUCGAUUGAUUUUAUCUGCAUUAAACGUCUUGUAUUUUAUGAACCAUCUGAAGAAGCAAGGGAAUGUAUGCAGGUGGACGUAAGUGGUUGGAUGUAAGCAGUUGGAUGUAAGUGGUCAGACAUAUGUGGUUGGACGUAUGCAGAUGGACGUAUGGACUCAUGAAACCCAUCAAUAUGGUUAAAUAAUGCAUUUAUGGAUUUUAUCUGCAUUAAAUUUUUUAUCUGUCUUGUAUAUGCAAUGCAAAUGUGUGUUACAAAUGACCAAACAUAUCAUUAAACAUAAGUUUCAGUCAGUCCUGACAAAAAGGGUGAGCCGUGUUUCUUUAGCAUACGAUAUCGAUAUUUUUCCUUCACCAGUAGAUCGUCAACACUUUUAAGAAAUCCUCUAUGAGUUGGCUUAGCAUUUCUCAUGGUUGAAUUUUCUACCAUUUGGCUGUGGUUAUUAGGAAGUAGGGGGCUUAGUAGGUGUGUUCCAGGCACAGAAUUGCAACAUCAAUUUAUACCACUGAUAAGUGCUAUACUACUAGUUCGAGAAGAUGGUUAUCUUGCACAUACACGUGUAUACGUAGUCACGCUGCCUCGAUGUGCUCCUGGUAUUGUCAGACCUUCACUACAGCCGUAUAAAUGCCACAGAUCUGUGUGUUGAGAAUAUGGC